UCUUUUUUUUCUUUUUUAUUUUUAAUUUCUUUAAUUUUCUCAUCCACCCUCUAUAAUCUUCUGUAAGGUUUGAGUUUUGAGGUUUGGACUUUAGAUCUAUCGCUGCAUCUGCUUCUAUUUGGCUGAUUUGCUGAAGAACAAGUUAUUGGGAUACUCGAUAAAUCCAGAUUUAGUAACCCUAAUGAAAGGGCACAGAGGUCUCGUAACUACCCUACCCGAAAAUUUUAGCUUCGAUAAUGGCUCCACAUCAUCCGAUGCUGCCAUAGACACUCAAAUGUCGUGGACACCAUGC